rnacentral:rRNA from 1 species
ACCUGGUUGAUCCUGCCAGUAGUCAUAUGCUUGUCUCAAAGCUUAAGCCAUGCAAGUGUAAGUUCACGCCACGCAUUAGAACGGGCGAAACCGCGAAUGGCUCAGGAACCGGACCUAAUCCUCGGGACCGUAAUCCUCCUCGGAGGCGAUGGAUAACUGUGGCAAUUCUAGAGCUAAUACAUGUGACACAGGCCGCGAUCGGCCGUCGCGCCGUGGUCGCCUCGCCUCGCGCGCUGGCACCCGCGGCGGCCGUCUUGGGUCGCGGCGCUACAUAUUAGACUGAGACCGAUGCGCGAUUUCCGGCCUCUCGUCGUCGUYUCGGGUUUCGGCUCGUKUCGGCGGCGGGGCUAAAGGUCGGCGCGCUCCGCUUUGGUGACUCUGGAUAACUCACUGGUCGAUCGCACGGGCUUUCACGCCCGGCGACGGGUCCCCCGAGGGUCCGCCCUAUCAACUGUCGACGGUCGGUUAAGUGCCUACCGUGGUUACUACGGGUAACGGGGAAUCGGGGUUCGAUUCCGGAGAGGGAGCAUGCGAAACGGCUACCACAUCCAAGGAAGGCAGCAGGCGCGCAAAUUACCCACUCCCGGCACGGGGAGGUAGUGACGAAAAAUAACGACGCGGGACUCUGUCGAGGCCCCGCGAUCGGAAUGAGUACACUUCAAAUCCGUUAACGAGGACCAACCGGAGGGCAAGUCUGGUGCCAGCAGCCGCGGUAAUUCCAGCUCCGGUAGCGUAUAUUAAAGUUGUUGCGGUUAAAAAGCUCGUAGUCCGAACUCGGGUUCGUGGUCGCUCACGCGGCCCCGGGGCGGCGGCGCCAUCGUCCAUCGUUGACUUUGGUCGUCCGUUCGCAUUCCCGGCCCUUUCCGCCGGUGUCGAUCGCUACAUAGACGGCCGCGGGCCCGGCCGGUGGUAGGCGUGGCGUGUGUCCGGUUGCGUUGUGGGCYGCUCGUCGGCGGGUCCUUUACGGGGCUUCGUCGUCGUCGGUGGUUUGCGGCGUUUCCGUGUCGCGCGUCCGGGCUCUCGGGCUCCCUUCCGCUAYGCCAACCCGUGUCGCCGUCGGCGAUUUCUCCUCCAAGGGUGCUCUUAACCGAGUGUCCGCGGCGGCCGGUACGUUCACUUUGAAAAAAUUAGAGUGCUCAGAGCGGGCUGUUCAAGCUUGCAUACGAUAAGCAUGGAAUGAUGGAAGAGGGCCUCGUCUACGUCUGUCGGUCUCCGUCUACGGCGAGGCAAUGAUCGAAGGGAGCGGUCGGGGCCACUCGUAUUGCGACGUUAGAGGUGAAAUUCUUGGAUCGUCGCAAGACGAACUGCAGCGAUGGCGUGUGGCAAGCACGUUUUCCUCGAUCAAGAGCGAAAGUCGGAGGUUCGAAGACGAUCAGAUACCGUCGUAGUUCCGACCGUAAACGAUGCCGACCGGCGAUCCGCCGGCGUUCGCUUCCAUGACCCGGCGGGUAGCCUGCGGGAAACCAGAGUUCGGUUCCGGGGGGAGUAUGGUUGCAAAGCUGAAACUUAAAGGAAUUGACGGAAGGGCACCACCAGGAGUGGAGCCUGCGGCUUAAUUUGACUCAACACGGGAAAACUCACCCGGUCCGGACACCGGUAGGAUUGACAGAUCGAUAGCUCUUUCUCGAUUCGGUGGGUGGUGGUGCAUGGCCGUUCUUAGUUGGUGGAGCGAUCCGUCUGGUUGAUUCCGAUAACGAACGAGACUCCGGCCUGCUAACUAGUGCGCCGAUGUGAGUGCGGCCCGAUUCGCGUUGGUCGUGUGCGGGCUCGGCGCGGGUCGUCGAUUUUUGAUCGGCGCUCGCCGUUCGGGUCCGGGUCGGUUUCUCACGCACUUCUUAGAGGGACGGGUGGCAGAAAGCCACACGAGGCGGAGCGAUAACAGGUCUGUGAUGCCCUUAGAUGUCCGGGGCCGCACGCGCGCUACACUGGAGGUAUCAGCGGGGACUUCGCCCCGGCCCGAGAGGGUCGGGAAACCUCUCAACCACCUCCCGUGAUAGGGAUCGGGGCCUGUAACCAACCCCGUGAACGAGGAAUUCCCGGUAGGCGCGGGUCAACAGCCCGCGUCGAUCACGUCCCUGCCCUUUGUACACACCGCCCGUCGCUACUACCGAUCGAACGGUCCGGUGAGGUCCUCGGAUCUGGCCGACGACGCCGCCGGGYGAAGGCCUUCGCGGGUCCCGCCUCGGCGUUCGAUGCCUGGAGAAGACGACCGAACCCGAUCGUUUAGAGGAAGUAAAAGUCGUAACAAGGUUUCCGUAGGUGAACCUGCGGAAGGAUCAUUA